GUACUUGCUUUGCAGUAUAUAUUCUGUAAUUGACCAAGACAGAGAAGAUUAGCAUGACCCUUCUGCAAGAAUGACAUGUGAAUUCAUGAAAUAUUCCAUCUUUUU